AUCUGGGACCUUUAUGUCACAAAGUAUGCUUCUUUUUACCUUUCAUACAUCACAUUUUUCUAAGAAAUACUGGCUGUGCCUUUUGUUUUUAUUUCUGUGAUGCAUUGCAAAAUAUAUGUGGAUGUGUUUAUUGUGUGCUUAAAUUUGCUAUGAUUGCCUGCGAAUGGAUGGGUUGCCAAUUGUUUUAGUGAAAAGUGGAAACCUCAAUCAGAAGGCUUGGCUAUAUCUUUAGUUAUCAGAAAACUUACGUUGGGAUGGGGUGUUCCCCACUAAAACAUUAGUAUGACUCAUUUAUCAAUCUGUAUGGGAUCUUUAAAUGCUGGGUUUAUGUUGUCUGGACUCUGGAGUUGAAAAUCAUCUUUUUUCAAGCUAAACUUUGCUAUAUUUUUAUUUAGUUUACAAGCUUUAUAUUCAUAUUUUCUUCUGUUUCUUCUUCCAGAUUUUUUGCGCUCAAAUAUGCCGCAGAUGCUGCCUGCACUGUAUUGCGAGUAGACCAGAUUAUAAUGGCAAAACCAGCUGGUGGUCCCAAGAGAGACCCACCUGCAGGGAUGGAUGAAGACUAGUUUUGUGCAGGGCCGCAACACUUGGUCUUGCUGGUAUCUUUUUGGGCAGAAUCUUUUACUUUCUAUGGUGUCUUUUUUUGCAAUUUUGUUUACUGUUAAAGAAAUGAUAAGAACAUUGCUCUGUAUAUGCUACUCCCAGUCCAACUUCAUCUGAUGAUUGGUUGUGAUGAUAGUCUGGAAGUUCUCAUAUUGGACUCCAAUUUCAACAGAAAAAUUUGUUAGAUUGGGUGCUUCAAGCCAUUUUUGGUGCUGAAUUCACUGAAUUUUUACUUUUUAGUGUUUCACUGUUCACUUAUGGGUGAUUUAAUGGAUUGUACUGGCGCUGUGAUUCUAGUUUAGAGAUAUGUUUAAUGCCAGUGCUUGUAUUUGUGUGGUGGCUUCAAAUUGAGAUUCAUUUGGUUGCUCUG
rnacentral:misc_RNA from 1 species